rnacentral:tRNA from 1 species
GCGAUAGUAGCUCAGCUGGUUAGAGCGCCGGAUUGUGGAUCCGGAGGUCGAGGGUUCGAGCCCCUUCUAUCGCCCCA